rnacentral:misc_RNA from 1 species
AUAUUAAUUAACAGUCCUUCAAAAGGAAUGAAAGAACUUGAAAGUCACCAACAUCAUUAUUCUAACCAUAUAUGCUUGGAAAUCAUAUAAAUAUCAUCUGGGAAAUAGUUUUCAUAUCAAAAAUGGAGCCAAAAGCUGAGAAACUUGUUAUUUUUACUACUAUUUUCUUAUCACUUUUGUUUCUUUUUGAUGGUGCCAGGAA